rnacentral:rRNA from 1 species
GACAGAGGGUGCAAACGUUGCUCGGAUUUACUGGGCGUAAAGCGCAAGUAGGCGGUCUUGUAAGUCGGGUGUGAAAACCCGGGGCUCAACCCCGGCAGUGCACACGAUACUGCGAGACUGGGGGUACUGAAGAGGAGAGCGGAAUUCUCGGUGUAGAGGUGAAAUUCGUAGAUAUCGGGAGGAACACCAGUGGCGAAGGCGGCUCUCUGGGCAGA